UUAUAGUGAAUUUGAACAUGAUGGCUUGAAAAUAUCAUAUGGGAACUGGAAUUGAAUACGUAUUGUGAGCAAGUUAACUGGGUUUGAAUAAAACGAGUUUUAAUAAGGAAGUUCGGACAGGAUCACAACAGAAACCAUGUAUACCAUUCAAAAGAAAAUUGAGUUUUUCAAGAAAUUCAUUGAUUUGAUAUUAAAGAGUCAUCGCUUUGUAAAAACGCGGUUUACAAUUCAAAGAUCAAGUAUAGCGAAAUGAUAUUUGAACUUUUGAUAAAACAACAAAUUGGAAUGAUGCCCUCCUAUGGUCUUCAUAACUCAAUGAUUCACAUGCGCAACAAACAGUGGAUGUGUAACGUGUGGAUUUACCAAGAAAUAGAUUAAUAUUUGCUAUUAUGAAAGAAAUCCUCAUGGUAUGAUGACCAUUAGGGGGAGUAGAAAUGCGAAAGUCAACUCGUUAUAGGCAGAAGUCAGAAUUGCAACGAAAGGAAUAUAAGAACUUUAUCUGGAAUUUAGUGUGAUAACCGUUGUUAAGUGACAUUACCAAGGAAUGUCGGAUGAAAUAAAAUGAAAUAGGGGAUUUGCAAAGGUAUAUGACUUCUUUUGUAGUGCUAAUAAUUAUGACUAUGAUUAGACUGUGCACCGAUGGUUGUGAAAUAUUGUUCCAAUGUACCUCAGCGAUAUUCAGAUCGUUUGUAAUAUCAUGUGGCAAAGUGCCGCUUUUUGAUUAGUAGUUCUUUUACUGACGGAAUUAGUAUUGGUGUCAUCGUGCCCAAUUUAUAUUUUCCAAAGGUCUUGCCUUAGAAGUCGUGUGUGAUAAACUUUGACGUCUUGUGGACGUAAAAUUUUAAGUUUCAUGUUUUAUGAUAACGCAUUGGUAAUUCUUAUAUUUUUUGGAUGGUGUUUCAACUUAAAGGGUUUCCAUUGUUUAUUUUGUCACACGAAUUACGAGACAAAUGAUCAAACGAAAUAA
rnacentral:lncRNA from 1 species